CCUACGGGGGGCAGCAGUAAGGAAUAUUGGUCAAUGGACGAAAGUCUGAACCAGCCAUGCCGCGUGGAGGAUGAAGGUCCUCUGGAUUGUAAACUUCUUUUAUAUGGGACGAAAAAAGGCCUUUCUAGGUCGUCUGACGGUACCAUAUGAAUAAGCACCGGCUAACUCCGUGCCAGCAGCUGCGGUAAUACGGAGGGUGCAAGAGUUAUCGGGAUUCACUGGGUUGUAGGGGGGUGUGUGAGGCUUGGUAGAAAUCCCCGAGCUUAACUUGGGAACUGCCAUUGAUACUAUCAGUCUUGAAUACCGUGGAGGUCAGCGGAAUAUGUCAUGUAGCGGUGAAAUGCUUAGAUAUGACAUAGAACACCAAUUGCGAAGGCAGCUGGCUACCCGAAUAUUGACACUGAGGCACGAAAGCGUGGGGAUCAAACAGGAUUAGAUACCCCUGUAGUC
rnacentral:rRNA from 1 species